GGGGUUGUAGCUCAGAGGUAGAGCCCUUGCCUAGCAAGUGCAAGGUUCUGGGUUCAAUCCUCAACACCA
rnacentral:tRNA from 1 species